GGAGUUUAUUACUAACAAGCCAGCAAUGCAGAAAAUGCUUAAGGGAAUGCUGUAAAAAGAAGAAAUAAAAAGCUAAGAAAGAA